GACCCGGUGGUGAAAUGAAUCACAUCUGCAUUCCAUAGCGCAUGUUGGGAAAAUUGAAGCAAGAAGUCCCGGUUCGAAUCCGGGCUGGGUCA